AUUGAACGCUGGCGGCAUGCCUUACACAUGCAAGUCGAACGGUAACAGGUCUUCGGAUGCUGACGAGUGGCGAACGGGUGAGUAAUACAUCGGAACGUGCCCGAUCGUGGGGGAUAACGAAGCGAAAGCUUUGCUAAUACCGCAUAAGAUCUACGGAUGAAAGCAGGGGACCGCAAGGCCUUGCGCGAACGGAGCGGCCGAUGGCAGAUUAGGUAGUUGGUGGGAUAAAAGCUUACCAAGCCGACGAUCUGUAGCUGGUCCGAGAGGACGACCAGCCACACUGGGACUGAGACACGGCCCAGACUCCUACGGGAGGCAGCAGUGGGGAAUUUUGGACAAUGGGCGAAAGCCUGAUCCAGCCAUGCCGCGUGCAGGAUGAAGGCCUUCGGGUUGUAAACUGCUUUUGUACGGAACGAAAAGACUCUGGUUAAUACCUGGGGUCCAUGACGGUACCGUAAGAAUAAGCACCGGCUAACUACGUG
rnacentral:rRNA from 1 species